rnacentral:lncRNA from 1 species
UUUCCUCCGCAACUUUUCCUUUCUUAUUCCUUUUCUUUCUUUUUUCAUUUCGUUCUUUCUUUUUUUUUUGUUUUCCAGAUUCAUAACACUGCUUUUUAACAUAUAUAUUUUAUUUUUCACAACUCUUUUUUUCAUAUUCAUUUGGUAUUUUUUCCAUUCACCAAUAUACUUAUCUUAGGCUUCUGUAUACUCUGUACAGCUACUGAGG